AUUAUUUUAGAAUUUGAAGAAAUUUCUUCUACAGCAAGAAGAGGAUCUUUACCGUCUCAGCCACAACCUUCUGGUUGUGCUUGAAAAAUAUGGAGUUCAACUAUGUUUUUUGAAGUCAUAUGUGACUUAUAUUUUGUGACUACUCAAUGGUCAAAUAAUAUAUAUUUUGUCCCGUAAAUGAGGGAAGAAAUUGCAGUUCAGAAAGCUAAGGAAACAGAACUUAAUAAAACCAUUCACAUUACAGGUACUGCAUGAUGGGGCAAAGGAGUUGGCUCAAAACGAUCUUAAUUCUGCAAAGUAUGUUAUAUCCGAUGAGAGCAAGGACAUUGGUGAAAAACUUUCAGAAAUUGGAAGCAGGCUGGAUUAUCCUCAUCUCACUAAGGAUCUUGCAAAGGAAAUAGAGACUCUAUGGGAGGAUGCUGCCAUUCAGGAAACAUAUGCCCGUGGUAAUGAACUCCAAGUUCCUGAUUGUACCAAAUAUUUCAUGGAAAAUUUGCAGAGGUUGUCUGAUGCUAAUUACGUUCCUACAAAGGAGGAUGUUUUGUAUGCAAGAGUUCGUACAACUGGUGUUGUGGAGAUCCAGUUCAGGUGAACAUGCAGAGAUGACAUGAUUUUUU